AUACAGAGGGUGCGAGCGUUAAUGGGAAUUACUGGGCGUAAAGCGCGCGUAGGCGGCUUAUUAAGUCAGAUGUGAAAUCCCCGGGCUCAACCUGGGAACUGCAUCUGAUACUGGUAAGCUAGAGUUUUGGAGAGGGAAGUAGAAUUUCAGGUGUAGCGGUGAAAUGCAUAGAGAUCUGAAGGAAUACCAGUGGCGAAGGCGACUUCCUGGCCAAAAACUGACGCUGAGGUGCGAAAGCGUGGGUAGCAAACGGGAUUAGAAACCCCAGUAGUCC
rnacentral:rRNA from 1 species